rnacentral:rRNA from 1 species
AACGAACGCUGGCGGCAUGCCUAACACAUGCAAGUCGAACGAGACCUUCGGGUCUAGUGGCGCACGGGUGCGUAACGCGUGGGAACCUGCCCUUAGGUUCGGAAUAACUCCCCGAAAGGGGUGCUAAUACCGGAUAAUGUCUUCGGACCAAAGAUUUAUCGCCUUUGGAUGGGCCCGCGUUGGAUUAGCUAGUUGGUAGGGUAAAAGCCUACCAAGGCGACGAUCCAUAGCUGGUCUGAGAGGAUGAUCAGCCACACUGGGACUGAGACACGGCCCAGACUCCUACGGGAAGCAGCAGUGGGGAAUAUUGGACAAUGGGCGAAAGCCUGAUCCAGCAAUGCCGCGUGAGUGAUGAAGGCCUUAGGGUUGUAAAGCUCUUCUACCCGGGAUGAUAAUGACAGUACCGGGAGAAUAAGCGCCGGCUAACUCCGUG